UACGUAGGGGGCUAGCGUUGUCCGGAAUCAUUGGGCGUAAAGCGCGUGUAGGCGGUUCGGUAAGUCCGCUGUGAAAGUCGGCGGCUCAACCCUCGAAUGCCGGUGGAUACUGUCGGACUAGAGUACGGAAGAGGCGAGUGGAAUUCCUGGUGUAGCGGUGAAAUGCGCAGAUAUCAGGAGGAACACCAAUUGCGAAGGCAGCUCGCUGGGACGUUACUGACGCUGAGACGCGAAAGCGUGGGGAGCAAACAGG
rnacentral:rRNA from 1 species